GAUCACCGGAACGCUCAAGCACAUGCCCCACAUAUGCCACAAGCGGGGAUCGGAUGAACCAGACGCAGCACAAGCAUCGCCCCCAGGGUGGGGACCACAGAGUUGUCUCUUCUUGGACUGGCACUCACUCACAAUACCACACUGCCUGCUAUUAUGUAAUCAUAUCAUUACUGCUUCGUUGUUUUUUUUUCCUUUUUUUUCUCUCUCCCUCUUUCCCUUAUACUUUCCCUCUCUUGCCAAUAACACAAGGGCGAUGCUAACUAUUUACUGUUUACUGCUCCAAUUUUGAGGCACCCCGGAGGCAAGUGGUCCAAUACCAUCUGACAACCUAGAGCCCACGCCAGAACCCAUUAUCAGCCUGGUAUAACCUUGCUGUCUCACUGCUUUAACCCAGUACCAAUAGCAUGUCUCACAAUCUAUGUUACAAACUUUAUAUACCUACUUGUCUUUGAACUUGCAUGCAUAGAAUAGAAGAUCUCGCUUAGAAUCUCCUCUAGACAUGUUCUGCCUAGCCUGUACCUAUCACCAUAAAAAAUGUGUAGUUUAAUCAAAUGCCUUAUAACAGUUAUGCAUUGUUCAGCUCAUUAUCUUGCCUUUGCUGUUGGG